GGUUAAAGCUGCGAUUCGCCCUUAGAGUUUGAUCCUGGCUCAGGAUUAACGCUGGCGGCGUGGGAACUGCAAGUCGAACGCCCUCGGCUUUUACGGAAGAGAGGGGGUGGCGGACGGGUGAGUAAGACAUGGGUGACCUACCCCACAGUGAGGGAUACCGGCGAGAAAUCGCCGAAACGAGACGGAUAGGCUCGCUCUGGUCGAGCGGAGCGAGCAAAGGUUCUUUCGGGAGCCGCUGUGGGGUGGGCCUGUGGCCGAUUAGCUGGUUGGGGGGGUAAGAGCCUCCCAAGGCGACGAUCGGUAGCUGGUCUGAGAGGACGAACAGCCACACUGGGAUUGAGAACGGCCCAGACUCCUACGGAGGGCAGCAGUGAGGAAUUUUCCGCAAUGGACGUUUUUCUUUUUGGAGCAACGCCGCGUGCAGGAGGACGCUUUUCGGAGUGUAAACUGCUUUUCUGUGGGACGAGCGAGGACGGUACCACAGGAAGAAGCCCCGGCUAACUACGUGCCAGCAGCCGCGGUAAUACGUAGGGGGCGAGCGUUGUCCGGAGUUACUGGGCGUAAAGGGCAUGCAGGCGGUCGGACGCGUUUUGUGUGACAGCGGAUGGCUUACCUAUCCGAGCAUACGAAAGACGGUUUGACUUGAGGACUCGAGAGGGACACGGAAUUCCGGGUGGAGUGGUGAAAUGCGUAGAGAUCCGGAGGAACACCGAAAGCGAAAGCAGUGUCCUGGCGAGUGACUGACGCUGAGUGCGAAAGCCAGGGGAGCGAACGGGAUUAGAUACCCCGGUAGUCUGGGCGUAAACGAUGACACCAAGUGUGGGAGGUAUCGACUCCUUCGUGCGGAGUAACACAUUAAGUGGUCGGCUGGGGGAGUACGUCGCAGAUAAACUCAAAGAAUGACGGGGACCGCCAGCAGCGAGCCGUGGGGUUAUCGAUGCAACCGAAAACUUACCAGGGUUGAAUUGC
rnacentral:rRNA from 1 species